rnacentral:rRNA from 1 species
AGAGUUUGAUCAUGGCUCAGGAUGAACGCUAGCUACAGGCUUAACACAUGCAAGUCGAGGGGAAACGACAUCGAAAGCUUGCUUUUGAUGGGCGUCGACCGGCGCACGGGUGAGUAACGCGUAUCCAACCUGCCCAUCACUUGGGGAUAACCUUGCGAAAGUAAGACUAAUACCCAAUGACGUCUCUAGAAGACAUCUGAAAGAGAUUAAAGAUUUAUCGGUGAUGGAUGGGGAUGCGUCUGAUUAGCUUGUUGGCGGGGUAACGGCCCACAAGGCGACGAUCAGUAGGGGUUCUGAGAGGAAGGUCCCCCANAUUGGAACUGAGACACGGUCCAAAACUCCUAACGGGAGGCA